UAGUUUUCUCUUUCAACAAAAACUCUUUCCACCCAAGAACUUCACCCAAAAUUCGUACUCCACCAAAAAUUCGUUCGAUUGCUUCACGAAAAUUCAACUGAUUCACCGUGCAUAGCUUCGAAUAGUAGCGGAAAAUUGUAGAAUCACUUCUUCCAGGAGACCAUGAAAAGAAAACGCAAGAAUUCAGCUCAAGCACUGUUGGAAAGUCUAAGAGGACAGCAAGCUGAUAAUAAUAGCCCAACUUCUCAAAAUCUGCAGCAACAAAUUAGUCGUGAUCAACUUGAUGCCCAACAUGAGAAUGAGAACAUAGAAACCCCUACACUCGGUGAUGACAACUUAAAUUCUUCUUCAAGCUCUAAUGAAGCUAACUCAC